rnacentral:rRNA from 1 species
UACGGGGGGAGCAAGCGUUGUUCGGAUUUACUGGGCGUAAAGGGCGCGUAGGCGGCCACCGCAAGUCAGUUGUGAAAUCUCUGGGCUUAACCCAGAACGGUCAGCUGAUACUGCGGGGCUAGAGUGCAGAAGGGGCAACUGGAAUUCUCGGUGUAGCGGUGAAAUUCGUAGAUAUUCGCAAGAACACCAGUGGCGAAGGCGGCUCACUGGCCCGGUACUGACGCUGAGGUGCGAAAGCGUGGGGAGCAAACAGG